CUCCUCUCCCCCGGAAGGUGCGCCCUCAUAAAUCCCCACACACUGCCCAGUUUCUUUCUCUUUCGUUCGCUCUAAUUUUGUUUCAAUCAUGAAAACAAUGAGCAGACGUAACAGCCGGACCAUCUAUGUAGGCAACCUCCCUGGGGACAUCCGUGAGAGGGAGGUUGAGGAUCUCUUCUACAAGUAUGGUCAGAUUUUGGAUAUUGACCUGAAGAUACCUCCAAGACCUCCUGGAUACGCUUUCGUUGAGUUUGAGGAUCCACGUGAUGCUGAUGAUGCAAUUUAUGGGCGUGAUGGGUAUAACUUUGACGGCUACAGGCUGCGGGUUGAAUUAGCUCAUGGUGGAAGAGGUCAGUCUUACUCUUAUGAUCGUUCAAGCAGCUAUAGCAGCGCACGCCGUGGAGGUGUUUCUAGGCGUUCUGAUUACCGUGUUAUGGUUACUGGUUUACCUUCAUCGGCGUCGUGGCAAGAUCUGAAGGACCACAUGCGACGUGCUGGUGAUGUUUGUUUCUCUGAUGUAUACCGUGAAGCCGGAGAAACUAUUGGAAUUGUGGAUUAUACAAACUAUGAUGACAUGAAAUAUGCGAUUAGGAAGCUUGAUGACUCCCUGUUCAGGAAUGCAUUUUCAAGGGCAUAUAUCAGAGUGAGGGAGUAUGAUGCUAGAUCACGAAGCAGAAGCCGUAGCCGCUCGUACUCGAGAAGCCCCAGUUACAGCAGGAGCAGGAGUCCAAAAUCUGUUUCCUGGUCACCAUCACCUGUGGAUGAAAGACAUGCCAUCAUUUUGUAGACUAGCCCGAAGAUGGGUGCAUACUGUAGUAAAAUUGGUAAGAGAGUGCUAUGUUAACUAAUUUACUUCCUACCAUGUGAUAUACGUCCAAAAAGCAAAAUGCCUUUUCAGAUCUUAGAGCCUGCCUUGUACAAACUUAUGCAUAUGCAGCUCCACAUUUUUAAGCAUAUGCUCUACCCUAACCUUCUAGAUCAUGCUCCUCGAAAGUUUUAAGUUUUGUCUCUACUACAAACUUCUGAAGUAGGGAGUGUUGCCAAGUCAGAGAGGGGAAAUGGCUUAUAGUAUGCAGUAAGAGAGUAAAGAAAAGGGCAUCACCAGAAUUUAAGUUUCUUUCAAAACCAUGGUUUUGUCACUUCUGCUGCUGUAUCAAUCAGUCAUCUCUAUAGCAUGGCAGCACCUCUUUGUUUCGUCUCUCUCUCUCUCUCUUUUUUCUCAUGGAGAAGCUUCAGUGCUCUCCUUAUUUUUUGACUUCAUACAUCCCUAACCCUGAGUUCUUUGCCGUAUUUAACAAAUAAAUGUACUACAUAUAUGGACUCAAAUUAUGUUUCCUACUUCAUAUUUUAAAAGUAAAAACAAGGACUCUAUAUAUGAAAUUCACCUAUGUUCACCAUAGAUUUUAAUCAUAGCCUGCUGCAAAAGAAAUUCAUUCUUUUUUUUUUUACUAAAGCCGGAAGGAAAAAACAAGGCUAGGUGCCUGAAUUUUGAUUGAUAUACUUUGGAAUGCUUCGUGGUUUAUAACACUCAUGAUAUGUUUUUGUGAUGUACCAAUUUCUCUUUAAACUAGCAUGACUUGAAUUUACUCUGGUUCAGUGAUUACUGAUUAAACAUACCGAGCUUGCUGGCUAACCUGCACUGCUCAAGGUUUGCUUUUGUUUUUCCUAGAUCUGGCCAUGCCCGCAAUCUGAGGACUGCAUUGGUAGAAUAUUGGAUGUAUUGAGAAUCGGAGUGGAUGGUUUGGGACUUUGGAUAGUAGAGCUGGAUUGUGAUGCAUGUAUGACAAGUGGGCUACAACCAGUCUUAGGAGCAAGAUAGGACUGACAAUCGCUAUCUAGAUCCCGAUCCCCUGUCUCUUCUCCUUCUCGUGGAAGAUCUGCAAGCAGAAGCCCCAGGAGCAGAAGCGCAUCCCGUUCCCGUUCUCCUGUGAGAUCUGAUUCAACUAGGGAACCCUUGAAGCGGUGAGCAAUUAUUACCAGAGAAAGGAAAGGAAGUUGAGAACAUGCACUACCAUCACAAUGAUCUGAAUGAUUCUGUUGUUGCCACUGCUCCCCCUCAUUUGGGAGGUUUGCUUUUAUUUAGUAUUUAAUAAUUACAUUAUUAUAUUGCUAAAGAGUAAAGAGAGUCUUACUAGGCAUAGCGUACUGGUGUAAACUGAACUUCUAUGUCCUGGGCCCUUGGCACUCAGGACUGAACUUCUAUGUCCUGGGCCCUUGGCACUCAGGUUUCAUCAUCAGUUCAAUUGGUCACUUGCAAACACAGUUGUGCGGUCGAUGUACUCAGUUAUUUGGUUUAUCGGUGCUACCUAUAUGCUAUUAC